rnacentral:rRNA from 1 species
GACGAACGCUGGCGGCGUGCUUAACACAUGCAAGUCGAACGGAAAGGUCCUGAUUUUGUGGGGUGCUCGAGUGGCGAACGGGUGAGUAACACGCGAGUAACCCGUCCCUGUAUUUGGGAUAACAUCAGGAAACUGGGGCUAAUACCGGGUAGGAGCUCCUGAUGCAUGGUGGGGGUUGGAAAGUUUCGGUGGUUGGGGAUGGACUGGCGGGUUAUCCGCUUGUUGGUGGGGUUGUGGCAUACACAGGGUACGACGGGUAGCCGGCCUGGGAGGGUGACCGGCCACAUUGGGACUGAGAUACGGCCCAGACUCCUACGGGAGGCAGCAGGGGGGAAUAUUGCACAAUGGGCGGAAGCCUGAUGCAGCAACGCCGCGUGCGGGAUGACGGCCUUCGGGUUGUAAACCGCUUUCGCCUGUGACGAAGCGUGAGUGACGGUAAUGGGUAAAGAAGCACCGGCUAACUACGUG